rnacentral:lncRNA from 1 species
GCUUCUUCUUGUCUGACUUCCAUUGGAGAGAUAUAUACUCUUUGAAUGAAGUCAUUGGUGUUGAACGGGAAUGGUUGCACCAUCGAUCUAUGAUUCUAAUGGCGAAGUAGUUACAAGAUAGAGAUAUUGAGCACCAGUCAGCGUACAGAAUAAUGGACACGGCUGGAGAACUUGUGGCACAGGUGAUGUAUCUUUAACUCUAGGAUUAGAGAAGUUGAUCCAAUGAUUUGUUUACGCAUGGCAAACAAACGCUUAGUAACUCAAGUUACCAUACGCUAGCUAGCUAAGAAGAACUCAUAAAACCAACCCUAGAAAGAUCACAUCAUUGGAUGCUUAUAACCAAGUUAAUUGGUGACUAC